GUUUGAUCCUGGCUCAGAUUGAACGCUGGCGGCAGGCCUAACACAUGCAAGUCGAGCGGCAGCGGGUCCUUCGGGAUGCCGGCGAGCGGCGGACGGGUGAGUAAUGCCUAGGAAUCUGCCUGGUAGUGGGGGAUAACUCGGGGAAACUCGAGCUAAUACCGCAUACGUCCUACGGGAGAAAGCGGGGGAUCUUCGGACCUCGCGCUACCAGAUGAGCCUAGGUCGGAUUAGCUAGUUGGUGAGGUAAAGGCUCACCAAGGCGACGAUCCGUAGCUGGUCUGAGAGGAUGAUCAGCCACACUGGAACUGAGACACGGUCCAGACUCCUACGGGAGGCAGCAGUGGGGAAUAUUGGACAAUGGGCGAAAGCCUGAUCCAGCCAUGCCGCGUGUGUGAAGAAGGUCUUCGGAUUGUAAAGCACUUUAAGUUGGGAGGAAGGGCAGUAAGCUAAUACCUUGCUGUUUUGACGUUACCGACAGAAUAAGCACCGGCUAACUUCGUGCCAGCAGCCGCGGUAAUACGAAGGGUGCAAGCGUUAAUCGGAAUUACUGGGCGUAAAGCGCGCGUAGGUGGUUUGAUAAGUUGGAUGUGAAAGCCCCGGGCUCAACCUGGGAAUUGCAUCCAAAACUGUCUGACUAGAGUAUGGCAGAGGGUGGUGGAAUUUCCUGUGUAGCGGUGAAAUGCGUAGAUAUAGGAAGGAACACCAGUGGCGAAGGCGACCACCUGGGCUAAUACUGACACCUGAAGGUGCGAAAGCUUGGGGAGCAAACAGGAUUAGAUACCCUGGUAGUCCACGCCGUAAACGAUGUCGACUAGCCGUUGGGAUCCUUGACGAUCUUAGUGGCGCAGCUAACGCAUUAAGUCGACCGCCUGGGG
rnacentral:rRNA from 2 species